GAGUUUGAUCAUGGCUCAGGAUGAACGCUGGCGGCGUGCUUAACACAUGCAAGUCGAACGAACCUUCGGGUUAGUGGCGGACGGGUGAGUAACGCGUGGGAAUCUGCCCUCAGGAGGGGGAUAACGGCUGGAAACGGCCGCUAAUACCCCAUAUGCCGAGAGGUGAAAUGAAUUUCGCCUGAGGAUGAGCCCGCGUCUGAUUAGCUAGUUGGUGAGGUAAGAGCUCACCAAGGCAUCGAUCAGUAGCUGGUCUGAGAGGAUGAUCAGCCACACUGGGACUGAGACACGGCCCAGACUCCUACGGGAGGCAGCAGUGGGGAAUUUUCCGCAAUGGGCGAAAGCCUGACGGAGCAACGCCGCGUGAGGGAUGAAGGCCUCUGGGCUGUAAACCUCUUUUCUCAAGGAAGAAGAUCUGACGGUACUUGAGGAAUAAGCCACGGCUAAUUCCGUGCCAGCAGCCGCGGUAAUACGGGAGUGGCAAGCGUUAUCCGGAAUUAUUGGGCGUAAAGCGUCCGCAGGCGGCCCUUCAAGUCUGCUGUUAAAAAGUGGAGCUUAACUCCAUCAUGGCAGUGGAAACUGUUGGGCUUGAGUGUGGUAGGGGCAGAGGGAAUUCCCGGUGUAGCGGUGAAAUGCGUAGAUAUCGGGAAGAACACCAGUGGCGAAGGCGCUCUGCUGGGCCAUCACUGACGCUCAUGGACGAAAGCCAGGGGAGCGAAAGGGAUUAGAUACCCCUGUAGUCCUGGCCGUAAACGAUGAACACUAGGUGUCGGGGGAAUCGACCCCCUCGGUGUCGUAGCCAACGCGUUAAGUGUUCCGCCUGGGGAGUACGCACGCAAGUGUGAAACUCAAAGGAAUUGACGGGGGCCCGCACAAGCGGUGGAGUAUGUGGUUUAAUUCGAUGCAACGCGAAGAACCUUACCAGGGUUUGACAUCCUGCGAACCUCUUGGAAACGAGAGGGUGCCUUCGGGAACGCAGUGACAGGUGGUGCAUGGCUGUCGUCAGCUCGUGUCGUGAGAUGUUGGGUUAAGUCCCGCAACGAGCGCAACCCACGUCUUUAGUUGCCAGCAUUCAGUUGGGCACUCUAGAGAGACCGCCGGUGAUAAACCGGAGGAAGGUGUGGAUGACGUCAAGUCAUCAUGCCCCUUACAUCCUGGGCUACACACGUACUACAAUGCUACGGACAAAGAGCAGCAAGUUCGCGAGGACAAGCAAAUCUCAUAAACCGUGGCUCAGUUCAGAUCGUAGGCUGCAACUCGCCUACGUGAAGGAGGAAUCGCUAGUAAUCGCAGGUCAGCAUACUGCGGUGAAUACGU
rnacentral:rRNA from 1 species